UAGUUCCUUAGUCAUUCUAGCCGGAGCGACUGCAAGUGACCUAUACGGCACUACACUGCACACAAGUCGGAACCACUGUAAAGGUUUGUAUGACAAGACUGGGUGUAAUAUAGUUAUGCUCAAUGCUACGUUCUCAUGAUAGCUAUGCGAUAAAUUGCUAAUCACCUACAAGUCGGAACCACCUAUAAUGGUCUGUACGACAAGACUGUGCACCUAAAUUGGAUCCAAUGUGAGUAUAUGGUGCAGGAGGUGACAUUAUAUACAUGCAUGUGCCAUAUCUAUGGCUAAAUCACUAACACCGGGGUGCAGGUUUAUGAGCUCAAUGUUUCUC
rnacentral:lncRNA from 1 species